rnacentral:rRNA from 1 species
AGAAUCAACGCUGGCGGCGUGCCUAACACAUGCAAGUCGAACGAGAAAGGGGAGCAAUCCCUGAGUACAGUGGCGACCGGGUGAGUAACACGUGACUAACCUACCUUCGAGUGGGGGAUAACUCCGGGAAACCGGAGCUAAUACCGCAUAACAUCGCAAGAUCAAAGCAGCAAUGCGCUGGAAGAGGGGGUCGCGGCUGAUUAGCUAGUUGGCGGGGUAAUGGCCCACCAAGGCGAAGAUCGGUAUCCGGCCUGAGAGGGCGCACGGACACACUGGAACUGAAACACGGUCCAGACUCCUACGGGAGGCAGCAGUGGGGAAUUUUGCGCAAUGGGGGAAACCCUGACGCAGCAACGCCGCGUGGAGGAUGAAGCCCCUUGGGGCGUAAACUCCUUUCGACCAAGACGAUUAUGACGGUACUGGUGGAAGAAGCACCGGCUAACUCUGCGCCAGCAGCCGC